rnacentral:rRNA from 1 species
GUGAACGCUGGCGGCGUGCUUAACACAUGCAAGUCGAACGAUGACGUCCCUCGGGAUGGAUUAGUGGCGCACGGGUGAUUAAUAUAUAGUUAAUGUGCCUCGACGACUGGGAUAGCCACUGGACACGGUGAUUAAUACUAGAUACACCUCUCUAACAUCAGUUAUAGUGGGAAAUGUUUUUUCUCUUCGAGAUCAUACUAUAUCCUAUCAGUUAGUUGGUGAGGUAAAGGCUCACCAAGGCAAUGACGGGUAGCGGGUCUGAGAGGAUGAUCCGCCACACUGGGACUGAGACACGGACCAGACUCCUACGGGAGGCAGCAGUGAGGAAUAUUGCACAAUGGGGGAAACCCUGAUGCAGCAACGCCGCGUGGAGGAUGACGCAUUUCGGUGUGUAAACUCCUUUUAGAUGGCAAGAAAAUGACGGUAGCAUAUGAAUAAGCACCGGCUAACUCCGU